rnacentral:rRNA from 1 species
UCUGGUAUUGAUUGGUGCUUGCAUCAUGAUUUACAUUUGAGUGAGUGGCGAACUGGUGAGUAACACGUGGGAAACCUGCCCAGAAGCGGGGGAUAACACCUGGAAACAGAUGCUAAUACCGCAUAACAACUUGGACCGCAUGGUCCGAGCUUGAAAGAUGGCUUCGGCUAUCACUUUUGGAUGGUCCCGCGGCGUAUUAGCUAGAUGGUGGGGUAACGGCUCACCAUGGCAAUGAUACGUAGCCGACCUGAGAGGGUAAUCGGCCACAUUGGGACUGAGACACGGCCCAAACUCCUACGGGAGGCAGCAGUAGGGAAUCUUCCACAAUGGACGAAAGUCUGAUGGAGCAACGCCGCGUGAGUGAAGAAGGGUUUCGGCUCGUAAAACUCUGUUGUUAAAGAAGAACAUAUCUGAGAGUAACUGUUCAGGUAUUGACGGUAUUUAACCAGAAAGCCACGGCUAACUACGUGCCAGCAGCCGCGGUAAUACGUAGGUGGCAAGCGUUGUCCGGAUUUAUUGGGCGUAAAGCGAGCGCAGGCGGUUUUUUAAGUCUGAUGUGAAAGCCUUCGGCUCAACC